GCCAUCUUGGAUCCCGCAGUGCAGGGACAACACACGACGGCAUCUUGAGCGUCCUCUUUCAGCGCAGAGCCUGGCUCUUUCUCCCCUGUGGCCCAGCCUUCCUGUCCCAGUUGAGAAACUGGAGAAUGGGAGUGAUGACCUCCAAACUCUUUACAUGCUGGACCAAAAUUUGGAAGUCUACAAUCAAUCGCCUCUAAAUCACGCAAUCAACGUGGCUUAUGCUGAGCACUUGCCUUGCAUUGGGGAGUCGUUUUGAGAGAGAGAGCACGAGCAUGAGUGGGGGAGGGGCGCAGAGAGACACACACAGAAUCUGAAGCAGGCUCCAGGCUCCAAGCUCCAGUCUCCGAGCUGUCAGCACAGAGCCCGAGUGGGACUCGAACUCAUGGAUCCCGAGAGCAUGACGUGGAAAAGGUGGUGAAAAAGCUGACCCUCCAGAUGCCCACAGCUCUUCACUGGGGAUGUGUUUGGGGUGCCAAGACCUAGGAGACCGUCAACCCAACGGAUGGAUGUGGUCUGUGGCAUCGUCAUACCCUGGAACUAUCCCCUGCUGAUGCUCUCCUGGAAGACGGCUGACUGCCUGGCUGCUGGGAACACAGUGGCGAUCAAGCCUGCCCAGAGAAGAAAGAAGAUGUCUACAAAGGUUUCUACAAUGCAAUCAUGGUCCACCUUCAGCUUCACUGUCCUGUGACACACUCACAACCCUGUUUCUGGUGAGUCUAUUGGGGCCAUUGCUCAACUGUACCUGUCUCAGCCCCUCCGGUCCUCCACCCUGCAGUCCGGUCCUCCCAUUGCUGCCACACCGAGGGGCGUGCAGCACGAACAAGCUGAACUCAUCUUCAGGUUUCCCAUGUGGAGCUGAAGUAUCUGACUUUGAGAAGUGGUUAUAGACGUCACUUCCAUUUCAGGAAAAUGACUCCUUGCAAGAAAGGGUCAGGGUUAAUUUUGGAAAAAACAAAAAACAAAAACAAAAAAACUUCCCAAAGAUAUGUUUUACUUAGCCCAUAAUGAAUGAGCUCCCCCAUCUUUGGGGCCAGACUGAUGGAAUAUUGGGGAAAGUUCUGGUAGGGAGAUAUUUGGGUUGAAAUGACUGAUCCAUACAUUGGGAGGUACAAGGAUAUUCCCCUCAUCCUGUCUAAUUGGGGUGAUCUGAAAAGUCAACUUAUUGCAGCCAUUCUGUGUUGCUGUGUUCUCCAGUGUAAGUGAAGAUGCUGGUUUUGCCUAAAGAGAGGAAGAAUUAACCUGUCAGGAAACAGGCACAUGGGGCAUGCUCCCCAGAAAAGGCUGGACUAGGGAUGGGAAUGGUCUUGGGUGUAUGCCUGAAGGAAGAACAUGAGACCCCGGGUCCUGUGAUUAAUAGUGAAUGUUCCACAUCUCCUAUGGAGUGCCAAGGUGAAUGUCAGAGGACCCCACUCCUGUCCCAAGUUUAUGCAGAGAGAGGGAGGGACUGGCCUUGAGGUUGCCAGAUGAGCUGACCACCAGCAUGUUCCUCUGUGACUCCACUGUGGUGUGGGCAUGAGGCAAAGUUCAUUCCCAAGCAGGCAUUCAGGAAGUGUGGCUAGAGUGGAUGUGUCAUGUCUCAUACAAGUCAGCACACCAGUUCAGGGCUCACUCCUCUAUCUGACCUGGCUCCCUUUGGCAGGUCUUGGGAGGGAUGAUAUUUAGGCUAAAGACACCAGUAAGAGGAGCCAAUUGGAUGUAAGUUUUGAGCAAGCCCAACAUCAACGACAACCAUCCCAUUAAAACCCAUCAUUACCUACUUCUACUAGAAUAAACUAAACUUCUCAAAUGCCCUCAACACACACAACACACUUUUCCUCAAUAAUUCCCACUGUCAACCAGACUUUUGGUCUUUACAAGUACUUAUCCUUCCAUCUUUGGAAAUACAUUUGGCAAACAAUGUGUUUUAGCUACCCGAUGCACUCAUCGUUGCCUGUAGAGAAGAAAGCCAUGAUGAUGUGACUUUCCACACAGGUUGCUGCCCUGUAUCUUCCCAGCUGUGUCUGGCCAGGGCUCACUGUGCUCCUUCUGGUUUAGGCACAGAACUGGGGCUACAUUUGGUAGUCACAGUCUUAUUGACCCACCACUUGCUAACACACCGGAUUUAAGAACAUCCAGAGUCUUAUGACACACCCUAAAUAUGAAAGGUGAAUAAUUAAGAACACUCGCCAAAUAAACCCCAGAGAAAUGUCAUCUUUAAUAUGUCACACAAUUCACAGACCCCCAAAGCCAAUGAUGACCUAGAGUUAGGAUUCCCAAUGGAUUUGAAAGGAGACAUCAUUAAAAACAUGCUUUGGCAAGCAAUUACAAAAGUGUUUGAAACAAAUGAGAAUAAGUCUCAGGAAAGGAAGAAAGGUGUAAAGAAGUACAUAAUGGACAAUUACAACUGAAAAGGAUAAUGACUACAAUUUUUAAAAUACAAACAUACACACAGACAACACAAAGAAUAAAACUAAUAUUUAUGUCACAGGAGUCUCAGAAAGAGAAAAUAUAAAAAAGUAGGGACUAAAAAUAUUUUUCAAGAGAAAAAUAAAAAAAAAAUUGUUUCAGGAAAUCAUGGCUGAUUUGCCAAAUUUGACAAAAGAUAUGAACCUAAUGAUCUAAGAAAAUGCGUAAAUACCAAAGAGUUGAAACCUCAAGAAGUCCACCAAGAAACAUGCUAUGGACUACACUAUGCUCCCACCCCAUUCACAAUUUUCCAGUUCUAUCCCCAUAAACUUGCAUGUGGGGCCUUGGAAGAUAAUGAGGUUAUGUUAGGUCACAAGUUUAGGACCCUCAUGAUGAGGUUAGCAUGCUUACAAGGAGAGAUGCCAGAGAGCUGGCACACUCUCUCCAUGCACACAUACAGAGAGAGGUCAUGUGAGCACAAAGCCAGAAGGUGGCCAUCCGCAAGCCAAGAAGAUGAGUCUCCCCAGAACGUGACCACACUGGUGCCCUUGUUGGAUUUCUACCCUAGAAACUGUAAGAAAGUGCAUUAUGGAUAUUUAUCCAUUGGCUUAAACUUAGUGCAUUUUUACACAUUGCAAUA